rnacentral:lncRNA from 1 species
UUUUUAAGCAAAAUGUGAUGGAAGUUACGUAUUGAUAAAUAUUAAACUGUUUCAUAGGUUAUCUUUUCUCUGUCAUAUGUUCCAAGUUGGCGUGUUGUCUUACAUGCAUGUCAGCUUACUAAGUCCCUUGCAGGCGUGCACGUUUACUAGUUCAGACUAUGGAGAAGAAGGCGUUCUCUACUUGCAGGGCCUGCGAAGAUAGAAAACAAGGCCUCACCAAUGGAAGAGGUCGUUUAGUUAUGUAAUAAAUAGUUUAGAAGGAGGAAAAGGUCGUGGUGGCCUCACAUGGCUAUAGCUUGAGAGAGAAUACGGAGGUUUGGUUGGCCUGUUGUUGAGCAUUGACCUAUUCCUUUCAUAUUAUACCUACUGCAUUUUUGCUCUUUAAAAGAAAAGAAAUGCACUUAUUGGCUACUACUUUGGGAGAAUAGAUAUUAAUCUUCAAGAUGGUAAAAGUUUGACA